rnacentral:rRNA from 1 species
GACAGAGGUGCCAAGCGUUAGGCGGAAUCAUUGGGCGUAAAGCGCGCGUAGGCGGCCUUGUAAGUCCGUUGUGAAAGUCAAAGGCUCAACCUUUGAACGCCGAUGGAUACUGUGAGGCUAGAGUCCGGAAGAGGCGAGUGGAAUUCCUGGUGUAGCGGUGGAAUGCGCAGAUAUCAGGAGGAACACCAAUAGCGAAGGCAGCUCGCUGGGACGGUACUGACGCUAAGGCGCGAAAGCGUGGGGAGCGAACAGG